UAACCAUUGAUGGAAUUCUAUUGAGUACCCCUAGCUUUUGAAAAGGAAUUCGUGAGCAUGGCCGUUUAGGAUCUCUUUAUUUUUUUGUUUUGCUAUAGUUCAUUUUUCAAAUCGUCAUUAUUUUUUCUUUUUUUUUUCUUUUGACUCUCCUUUUGCUUGAAGAAAUCUGAGGACAUUGUAUAUCCAAUUAGGUGAUACAUUUAUUCAUUUUAACUUUGAAGCAAUCUGUCUUACUAUUAACAUGUUUAUAUUUUGCAUUAGCCGGAUAAAAUACUUCGAUGACAUGGUAGAGAGGAUGAAUGAUCUCGAGUCGGGGAACGUAUUUACUUAGGUCGGGAUGCGAGAGGAAAGAUAAAGAUUUUAUGGAGAUUUAAGAGAUAAGGUGAGUGGGGUCUUUUUUUCCGCUUGGCUGUAUAGCGUGAUUGAGUUUUUCAGUCGUGUCUAUGUUCAAGUUCAUGAUAUUCUGUGGUUGAUUUUGUUAAUUUCACACGUUUCACUACCAUACAGUGUGUUGACAGAAACUCCGCGUUAAGGUUUAUUAUAGGAAAUUUUUCGACUCCUCUUUUCCUAUUUUUUAUUGUCUUUUGUGACGUUUUUAUUUUUUUUCUUAUUAUCCUCCUCCUUUCUAAGUAUUUCUUUUACUUGGGUUUUCAUUUGUGCUUUUAAUUUAUGUUGUUGAGGUAUUUUGCGCUUUUGCAUGGAUGGACAUGGGUGAGACUUUAUUAUUUCAAACUUGGUGAAUAUGUGCUGCCUUGUUGGUUGCAAUGUGUGAUGUUUAUUCAUGUAGGGGAGUGGAGGAGGAAUGGAAAAUAGGAAAGAGUUGGUGGUGGGGAGUUUGAAUGGAACAAAAAAAUAUUGGGUCUGGCCAUGUAAAUGUGUUUUAUUAUUAGGAGUUGGAGGCAUUCGAUGGUUUACAGAAGUCAUAGAAAUAAAUAUCCCGUCUAAUCGCUCAUCUAUUAAAAUUAAUAGUAGAAUGCAGUUUCAUAUCCGGGAGAAAUUC
rnacentral:snoRNA from 1 species